GACGAACGCUGGCGGCGUGCCUAAUACAUGCAAGUCGAACGCUUCUUUCCUCCCGAGUGCUUGCACUCAAUUGGAAAGAGGAGUGGCGGACGGGUGAGUAACACGUGGGUAACCUACCCAUCAGAGGGGGAUAACACUUGGAAACAGGUGCUAAUACCGCAUAACAGUUUAUGCCGCAUGGCAUAAGAGUGAAAGGCGCUUUCGGGUGUCGCUGAUGGAUGGACCCGCGGUGCAUUAGCUAGUUGGUGAGGUAACGGCUCACCAAGGCCACGAUGCAUAGCCGACCUGGGAGGGUGAUCGGCCACACUGGGACUGAGACACGGCCCAGACUCCUACGGGAGGCAGCAGUAGGGAAUCUUCGGCAAUGGACGAAAGUCUGACCGAGCAACGCCGCGUGAGUGAAGAAGGUUUUCGGAUCGUAAAACUCUGUUGUUAGAGAAGAACAAGGACGUUAGUAACUGAACGUCCCCUGACGGUAUCUAACCAGAAAGCCACGGCUAACUACGCG
rnacentral:rRNA from 1 species